UGCAACGCGAAGAACCUUACCAAGGCUUGACAUACACCGGAAACGGCCAGAGAUGGUCGCCCCCUUGUGGUCGGUGUACAGGUGGUGCAUGGUUGUCGUCAGCUCGUGUCGUGAGAUGUUGGGUUAAGUCCCGCAACGAGCGCAACCCUCGUUCUAUGUUGCCAGCGCGUUAUGGCGGGGACUCAUAGGAGACUGCCGGGGUCAACUCGGAGGAAGGUGGGGAUGACGUCAAAUCAUCAUGCCCCUUAUGUCUUGGGCUUCACGCAUGCUACAAUGGCCGGUACAAAGGGCUGCGAUACCGUAAGGUGGAGCGAAUCCCAAAAAGCCGGUCUCAGUUCGGAUUGAGGUCUGCAACUCGACCUCAUGAAGUCGGAGCCGCUAGUAAUCGCAGAUCAGCAACGCUGCGGUGAAUACGUUCCCGGGCCUUGUACACACCGCCCGUCAAGUCAUGAAAGUCGGUAACACCCGAAGCCGGUGGCCUAACCCUUGUGGAAGGAGCCGUCGAAGGUGGGA
rnacentral:rRNA from 1 species